GAUGAACGCUGGCGGCGUGCUUAACACAUGCAAGUCGAACGGAACUACUCCAAUGAGAGUCUUCGGAAAGGAUUUGGUUUAAUUUAGUGGCGGACGGGUGAGUAACGCGUGGGUAACCUGCCCUAUACAGGGGGAUAACAGUUGGAAACGACUGUUAAUACCGCAUAAGCGCACAGGAGCGCAUGCUCCGGUGUGAAAAACUCCGGUGGUAUAGGAUGGACCCGCGUCUGAUUAGCUGGUUGGCGGGGUAACGGCCCACCAAGGCGACGAUCAGUAGCCGGCCUGAGAGGGUGAACGGCCACAUUGGGACUGAGACACGGCCCAAACUCCUACGGGAGGCAGCAGUGGGGAAUAUUGCACAAUGGGGGAAACCCUGAUGCAGCGACGCCGCGUGAGCGAAGAAGUAUCUCGGUAUGUAAAGCUCUAUCAGCAGGGAAGAAAAUGACGGUACCUGACUAAGAAGCCCCGGCUAACUACGUG
rnacentral:rRNA from 1 species